rnacentral:rRNA from 1 species
CAGUCGCCGCGGGAAUACGAAGGGUGCAAGCGUUACUCGGAAUUACUGGGCGUAAAGCGUGCGUAGGUGGUGGUUUAAGUCCGUUGUGAAAGCCCUGGGCUCAACCUGGGAAUUGCAGUGGAUACUGGGUCACUAGAGUGUGGUAGAGGAUAGUGGAAUUUCCGGUGUAGCAGUGAAAUGCGUAGAGAUCGGAAGGAACAUCUGUGGCGAAGGCGACUAUCUGGGCCAACACUGACACUGAGGCACGAAAGCGUGGGGAGCAAACAAGAUUAGAUACCCGUGUAGUCCCUGUCUCUUAUAC